rnacentral:rRNA from 1 species
UACGUAGGGUGCAAGCGUUGUCCGGAAUUAUUGGGCGUAAAGAGCUCGUAGGCGGUUUGUCGCGUCUGCUGUGAAAACGCGAGGCUCAACCUCGCGCCUGCAGUGGGUACGGGCAGACUAGAGUGCGGUAGGGGGAGAUUGGAAUUCCUGGUGUAGCGGUGGAAUGCGCAGAUAUCAGGAGGAACACCGAUGGCGAAGGCAGAUCUCUGGGCAUGUCCUGACGCUGAGGAGCGAAAGUGUGGGGGAGCGAACAGG